rnacentral:rRNA from 1 species
CUUAUGCGUUGUUGGGUAGGGGAGCGUUCUGUAAGCCUGCGAAGGUGGCCUGUGAGGGUUGCUGGAGGUAUCAGAAGUGCGAAUGCUGACAUAAGUAACGAUAAAGCGGGUGAAAAGCCCGCUCGCCGGAAGACCAAGGGUUCCUGUCCAACGUUAAUCGGGGCAGGGUGAGUCGACCCCUAAGGCGAGGCCGAAAGGCGUAGUCGAUGGGAAACGGGUUAAUAUUCCCGUACUUGGUGUUACUGCGAAGGGGGGACGGAGAAGGCUAUGUUGGCCGGGCGACGGUUGUCCCGGUUUAAGCGUGUAGGUGUGUGUUCCAGGUAAAUCCGGUUCACUUUAACACUGAGGCGUGACGACGAGGCACUACGGUGCUGAAGCAACAAAUGCCCUGCUUCCAGGAAAAGCCUCUAAGCAUCAGGUAACAUCAAAUCGUACCCCAAACCGACACAGGUGGUCAGGUAGAGAAUACCAAGGCGCUUGAGAGAACUCGGGUGAAGGAACUAGGCAAAAUGGUGCCGUAACUUCGGGAGAAGGCACGCUGACACGUAGGUGAAGUGAUUUACUCAUGGAGCUGAAGUCAGUCGAAGAUACCAGCUGGCUGCAACUGUUUAUUAAAAACACAGCACUGUGCAAACACGAAAGUGGACGUAUACGGUGUGACGCCUGCCCGGUGCCGGAAGGUUAAUUGAUGGGGUCAGCGCAAGCGAAGCUCCUGAUCGAAGCCCCGGUAAACGGCGGCCGUAACUAUAACGGUCCUAAGGUAGCGAAAUUCCUUGUCGGGUAAGUUCCGACCUGCACGAAUGGCGUAAUGAUGGCCAGGCUGUCUCCACCCGAGACUCAGUGAAAUUGAACUCGCUGUGAAGAUGCAGUGUACCCGCGGCAAGACGGAAAGACCCCGUGAACCUUUACUAUAGCUUGACACUGAACAUUGAGCCUUGAUGUGUAGGAUAGGUGGGAGGCUUUGAAGUGUGGACGCCAGUCUGCAUGGAGCCGACCUUGAAAUACCACCCUUUAAUGUUUGAUGUUCUAACGUGGACCCGUUACCCGGGUUGCGGACAGUGUCUGGUGGGUAGUUUGACUGGGGCGGUCUCCUCC